AGAAGAAGAAGAAAGCGGAGCCGGAGGUGACCAGCAAGGGCACUGGCCCUAGUCGCGCAACAGCUGCUGCUGGCAAAGGUACUCUUCGCCUUCGUCAACGUGACUUGGAUGAUUAUGUGAUCAUCAGUGACUCAUAUGAAGGUUUAUCACAUGUAGCUAAGGGAAAAGCUGGUGCUGGUGGGUCGAAGAGUUCCGGGAGCGCGGGUUCUCGCAACCCUGAAGCUGGCGCGACUCCGUCUUUCCCAGAGGAUGAAGAGGUGGAAGAGGAAGAUGCUGCUGCUCGACUUAUUGGGCGGAAAAGGGGUAGGAGCGAGGCUACCACUGGUGUGGCUUCCGCGCCUCAAUCUGUUGUGAUCCCUACGAUAGGGAAGACGAGCAGGCUGCGCUCGUUGUAUCAAUUUUCUCCUGAGAUCAAGAAGAAGACCCCUGAAAAGGCGGUUACAUUCGUUGAGGCGGGG